UUUUUUUUUUUUUUUCGUUUUCUGUUUUUUUUUUUUUUAAUCUAUCUUUAUCUGGUUGCUAAACUGUCUAUAAAGUUUUCUCACCAGAAAUGUUUGUCAUCCAUUCCAGCUAUGUGUUCUAGAGGAAAUUAGGACCUUCAUAUUAAAAAAAAAAUAUUUCUAGAGGAGAACAAAAGUUUAGAAAUACUAGAAUUUCCUACCAAAAAAUUUCCUGUUUCUGAAAACUAAAUAUUACUUGAAUCUACAUCUUUGAGUAUGGAAUAAAUUGCCAUUCCUAGCUUAGAUGAAUUCCUCACAUAAUUCUUUUUUCUGAAACAGCUGAGAGAGUAACCCUGAGCAAUCGCUUAAUGUAAAGCAAGGCCCUAAAACCUGAGAACUCUGUGCAGAGUACCAGGAAACCCUGUGGUAUGUGUGUGACUUCUGUGGCAUUGUGGGACCCAAAGAUUAAUAACCACAAGAAGCUUUUGCUUCAGUUGAACAGAAAUCUGUCAUUUGGUAGCAGUGUGAAAAACGAUGUUUUUGUUGCUAUUGAAAUGUUUUUGGUUUCCAGGAAUCAGCACUUUCUAAUAAAAAUUAGUGAAAAACAUUUCAUACAGAAGCAUGCUGUUAGAAAAUUUCAAACCAGAUAAUUUUCCUUACAGUAUAAAUUUAGUGAGUAGUGAUUUGAUAGAAGACACUGUCAUCCCUUCACAUGGCCAAGUACUAAGGAAAUACACAGCACAAAAUAUAUUUAUGUAUGUCUGAUAUAGAAGGACUGGAAAUAUGAAUAAGUUAAAGUUUGGAAAGGCAGAAAAGCAAAAGAUAAGUAAUAUGAUGAACACUUUAAAAUAAGGAACAGGGUUUUUUUUUUGUGUCAGUGUUCCCUGAAUGUUGUCUGUUACCUGAAAAUUUCUCAAUAGAGUUAAUAGUAGAAGUGGUAGUAGAGACUGAACAGGCAUUUUUAUCUGUGCCCUUGUUACAGAAGGCACAACAAUAAACAUCAGUGACUUCUGUAUUCAAAAUAUUCCACCUGUCACUAGAUAUGAGUAGAGCUGCACUGAAAUUUAAAUAGGGAGAGGAUUUGAGUCUGCAUACAUGUAGCUUCAUUACCAAUUAAGGCAUUCAAAUUUCUUCUUUCACUGUGUCUUAUUUUUCCAGUUCUUGAGAAAUCGGUCACAUAGUAACUAUCAUUUCUGAUUUGCAUUUUAAAAGUUAGCAUAGAAGAAAUGACCUCCUGGCCUUCAUGAAGUCAUUGUGGGAAUUCCCAUACAUUUCAGCACUAACAGGAUUUUUAGCCCAAGAAUCAAAGGAUAAAUCUGAAUUAAAUAUCUACCUUUAAGAGGAAGAAAGUAAGGAUGUUUUCAGACCUAAAUUUUCAUAUUUUUCUUUUCUCCUGGAAGCCUGACCCAAAAACCUAUUUGGGAAACAAGUGGAAAAAAGGGUUUGUGUACUGCCUCCUCAACUCACAGUGCUGGUCCUGUUGGUGCAGUUGGCCCCUGUCCACUAAUGGUAGGAGCAUAAGAUUUUGAAAGCCUGGGUUCCGGAGGGGUAUGAUGAAUCCAUAAGAAAUUUGCACAGGGGCUAGCUACCUCCUCUGUGCUUGUAACUAUAAAGUCCAGCUUUAUAAAUCAGAUGAGCUGUUAAUUCUACAGAGUUAAAUAGAUUUGCAAAGAGAAAGUGAGACAUUUAAAAGCCCCCGUCAUCAAACUUACAGUGUAAACAACCAUUGCUAUCUGAUCUGGAAGAGAAAUUUAAGUUCAUAAGGGCUUAUUUAGAAGGAAUGUUACUAGCUUAAUUGGUCAAGCAAAAUUUACCACCUACUUAAUGACAUAAUUGUACUUCCCUUAUUGCUUCUGGGUUGUCUGGAUUCCCUUAGCACCCUCACAAACAAUUCUGCAGAUGCAUUUACAGAUCAUAAGGGUUCCUUAUUAGAAAAGAGAUCUAACAUAGCUCAAGGAAGGUUUUUGAGAUGCUAAAACAAUUGCAGUCAUUAUUUAACUUUCAAUGCUACUUCUGUGAUCUGGUUACAAAUGAGUGACUGUGUUUUAAGAGCAUUUGAGCCAUCAGGAGAGCAGAAUGCUCAUCUUUCCUCUUCAGGAGUACUGACUGUUUGUCCCAGCAGCCUCGACUCUUCUUUGAAAUUCCUCUGCAUUAAAAUUCCUGAACUAUGAGCAGUUCAGGAAUUUCAGGUCAUUCUCAUUCCACCUGCAAGGGGCAAGAAGCACAUGCCAGUUGGCACAGUAUUAGAAAAGGAAUAUGAUUUAUUUGAUCUUAACAUAUGAUCUAUGCAGUUAUCCCCAUUUCUGCUUCAUCUCUGGCAAAAAGUGUUGAUAUACAGCACUCAACAGCAUGUUUUUGUCUUUAAAAAAUAAGAAACCUUUAGAAACCUUCCAUUGUCCAACACUGAGAAGUACUUUUUGCAAAUCAGAAAAAAGUGUAAGAUGGAACAUGUUGCACUGAUGUUACUUUUAAGUACGUAUUUAGUUUUCAUACAUGAUCUGGAAACACUAGAUUUCUUUUAUAAGAGAUUAAUUUAUAGGUGAUUUAUUCCAUUGAAGUUUUGUCUGCAAGGUGUACAUUGCAUGUUUUGAAAUACAUUACUGUUGUUACACUAUGAGGAGAGGAUUGUCCAGAUCUUGUUCAUCCCUGUUGACAAACUGUUUACCUCUGUUGCAAGCUGUCAUUAGGCUACAAAAAUGUAAUUAUGUUUUGCAUUGCACAGAACUGCAUUAAAUUGGAUUUUGAUAAUCCCCACACCUUUCUAUAAACACCAGCACAAACACUAUUUUACUUGGUUAUUUUAAUCACUUUCUCCCAGUAGGAGAGAGCACCCACUAAUUUUUGUUGGGUUAUUCUUUGUUCAAUUCUCACUAACUGAACAUGCACUGCUUCCUGUUUUUGCUCUGUACAUUUUAGUACUGACUAUGGCAGUAGAACAGAGGUACUUUUAAACAUUCUGUCAUCUUUGCUAUGGCAAAAUUAAGGCUGUUUUUAUCACUUAGGAACAAGCUAUUCCUGCAGAAGGAAAAAAUUCUCUACCUGACACUAUCUGUGAUCAACCUCUCUGUCCACUGGGUGACACCAGCAGCCUAUCUGACAUCUGUUAGCUGUGCAUGGCGCCACAGAACACAUAUCUGGAGAAGAUUUAACCACAGAGAUGCUUUUUUCCUGGUAACACUAGGAACAUUGUCUUUCCUCUCUGGUGGAAAAGUGAGCUAAAUUAAUAGGAAAAUCAAAAUGCAGGAAAAAAACCUAAAACAUCUUCCAAACCUAUUACAUGUAGUUUACAAGGUUGAAGGAGACAAAGUGAGAAAAUACUCCAUAAAAUACACAAUUAACUGAGGGCCUCAUUAAGAGAACAUUCUUUAAUAUGAAUGACCCACAGCUGAUGAAAAUGAUUAUGAACAGCUCUGAGUGUCAGGUAACAAAUUACUGAGAUGCAGUUUGCUUCUGUCCCAUGUUACCUGUUUUGCAUUCCCAUAUGGGAAUAAUUUAUCAGUUUUGAAAGGAAGAUCAUGAUAACAUGCAAUUUUUUUCUGGCUGAUAAACUGAUUAAUCCUUAGAACAGCUUACAAACUACUUUUUAAAAUAAUUUAAAGACAUUCUCAUAUAUGGGCAACAUUUUAGUUUGGUUUUGCUGUUGAUUUUGUCACUUUUCCUUUACCUGUAAUUCACUGCUACAAAGAUUAUCACGAGUACAUGCUUGAUUUUAGUCCUCCUCUGAUACAGAUAUAAACAAAAGAUGCAUGAGGAGUAAAACCUAAAACCUAAUUAGACUGUCAUGUGGUCUUAAUUGUUUUAAAUGGUAAAAGCAAGAUAGCUGGUUCUUUUGCUUCAACAAGAAACUAACUAUUUAAGGAAGAAUGGAGUUGGUUUUUAGAAGGAAUGUGUUAACAGUCCUUCCUAUCAACUCUCUUAAUGUCUCUCAUAUAGUAAAUAAUCAGCCCAUGAGCCUAUUUCACCUGGUUAGCCCUCCUAUGGCCCUUCAGCUGAUAGAGUGAACAUCCCAUACAAAGGGAGCUCUCUCUGCUGUUUCCAGGGUGGUAGUCAACCUGCCUUCAACCAAUUCCCAGACAGACUCACCCUGCUGUUCCUGUGCUCAGCUAGAAUACUCUCAUUGUGUUAUUGCAUACAGUAGUGACAUGCAAAUACCAGAAGAAAGAUAAGAAUCUUCAAAUGCAACUCUGCCAGAAGUCACAAGUUGGAAAGGGUCACAGUAAUCUCCAGAGCAGCUCAAAAGCAAAGUAAUAAAUAAUAUUAAGAAGUUCUGGAUUCUAAAGUAGGCUAUGGUACUUUUCUGUUGGACAGCAGCACAGCCUCUACUGAAGAUCUCAGACUGGCCCAAUUGCAGUUUAAAAAUAAUAGUCAUCAAGAAUGAAGUCAUUACAUUCAGGGUAGACUACAGUUCCCCUUUUCUGUAUUUCUGAAAAAUUUGUCAUGCGCCAGAGAUGACAAAAUUGAUUGAUCAAUUGGUCAUGCUUGUUUGUCUGGAAUAUUUAAAGCUUGUUACAGACAGCUUCAGAAGCAUUGAGCAAUACUCACUAAUUGAUAAUCAGUUGGUGUAUGAAAUUAGUAGUCUGCUAGUAACUAAGUGCGGAGUAAUUUAUGUGGGGGAAAAAGAUUCAGAAUUAUUCAUAAAGAUGCAAUGGAUACAAUAGCUUUUAACACUGAAGUAAGAGAUGUAAGACUCAUUCAUUGACAAAUCCCUGAAAACUUUUGAUCAUUCUCUGUAAUGCAAGCACAAUGUUAGUCAAAGGGUAAACAAAACAUUCUUGAGAUUCUGGUACACAGCACGUGACUGUCUUCAUCACAUCUCAAUAUGGGAUAUAAAUAUAGAAUGGCUGUUCAUAUAAUGAAGGACUAAAUAAGGUAGCUUAUAAAAGAGGCUAAGAUGAGAUAAGAGAGAGCUUUAUAAAACAAAAAAAUGUUGUGGCAAAGGAAUAAGAAAUAAUUAUUAACUGUUUCUGAACACACAGACUGAUCAGAUGCACCAAGGAAGAGAUAAACAGCAGAUUACAAACAAAAAGAUGUUCUUUUUCUUACAGCAUGUCAUUAAAUUGUGGAACUCUUUGCCACGGGAUGUUGCAGAGGCCAAGAGUGUAACUGUGUUCAAAAUGGAAUUAGAUACAUUCCUGAGGGCUGGCUCUGUUGGCAACUGUGAAAAGUCAUGGUCCAGACUCAAUUUUUGGUUAAGGAAAUCUCUCAAUUGUUAAUCCCCUGGUAAUUGAAGUCCACUGAAUUAUCAACUGCUUAUGGCUGAUAUGGAUUACAAAAAGAAGGAUCUUCUUU
ensembl:lncRNA